GUAUCGCCACAAAAGCGUUCAUUAUUGAACACCUUAUUUUCGAUGGAUCGACUUUUCGAGCUAGCUAUCUUGUUAUAUGUGGAUGCCCCAGAUUAUCUUGUCUGUCAUGAUCGUAUACAAGUCAGCCUCAUGCCCUGGAGCAACAAAGAUGUAUCCUAUUUGGACCAGCUGAUUUUUCUACUUUAAAUAUAGCUAUAUUCUCCACCAUUGAGCACAGCUACACAAAAUGUUCUCACAGGAAAGCAGCAUCCAUCACAAGGGAACCCCACCACCCAGGACACGCUCUCUUCUCACUGCUGCCAUCAGGAAGGAGGUACAGGAGCCUCGGAACUCACUCCACCAGGUUCAGGAACAGUCAUUACCUCUCAACCAACAGGCUUUUGAACCAGAGAGGGUAACUUCACUCAACUUCACUUGCCCCAUCAUUGAACUGUUCACACAACCGAUUAACUCACUUUCAAGGACUCUUCACCUCAUGUUCUCAACAUUUAUUGCUUAUUUUAAAAUAAUAGUUGUUAUUUAUUUAUAUAUUUAGUUGCCUUUUGCACACUGGUUGAACACCCAAGUUGGUGCGGUCAUUGAUUCUAUUAUGGUUAUUAUUCUAUUAAAAAUUUAUUGACCACAAGAAUGAAUCUCAGUGUUGAAUAUGGUGACAUAUAUGUACUUUGAUAAUAAAUUUACAUGUACUUUGAACUUUUCUUCUAUCCUUUUUACCUAAU